GGGAAGCUGAGGGUGGGCCUGGUUAGAUCAGCACGCACUGGGGAGAGACAGGCUGUCUCGCGGCACACACUCUUGGCUGUGGCACAAGCAGCCUUAUCAGCACAUCUAGACCGAAUGUGCUGGCAGCAGGAGGAGCGGCAGGCGUCUCCACAGCCCUGGGCACCCUGAGAACGUUCGGCUUCUGAUUAACGGGCAGCGCCAAUCCUGACAUGGGGCAGGCCCUGGAUGGAUGCAGUCAGUACUGGGAAGGCUCUAGGCAAAGGCAAUGAGAUGUCCCGGUGCCCAGCACCCCUCCACGACCUCUGCCACCCAUUUACUGAGCGGUUCAACCCCAAACCCUCACCUGGGAAGGCCGCUGGGGAAGCCCAUGCGGAGCCAGUAUCCUUUCUAGGCCAGGCUUCCGGAGGUGAGGCUGUUCCCUCUGGGUGGCCAGGAGCGCAGGACACCUACGGAGCCCAGAGGGUCUCCGACUCUACCCAGUCCGUUUGUAUCUGAGGCAGCUGUCCAUAGAAGGGAAAGCUGCCAGCAUCUUGGUUAUACCGCGACAUGUUCCUGUGGACAUUGCAGCCCUGGGAUAUGGGAUUUAACGGAGAGCGCUCAGGCAGUGAGGGGGAAAGCACACGGGAAUUCUCCAGUCCACGGGGAACUGGAACUCCCUGGGGUAUGCUGCAUAAAUGUGCUCUGACAACUGGCUGUGAAAAUCAUCCACGUUGCUUGGACAAGGCACCUUCCAUCUCCAUAUCUGAAAGAUACUGGAACUGCGUGCACAUUACCCCGAGAGACUGGCGAGUGACUCCUCCCCAUUCUGACGGCGUGGCGUGUCGGGCUGGAUGGCCCAUGCCUCUGGCUCUUCCCUGCUUGAGCUAGCACCUGUCGGUCACCGUAAGAACAUCAGCCGCGUGACCGCAGGAACUUCUGUCUGGUUCAUAGCUGUAUCUGCAGCGUCUGGGAUGGUGCCGCGCACAGACUAGGCAUUACAUAAAGACCUGCUGAGCAAGUGUCAAGAAGUUCUGUGUAACCUGGCUGUUGCUAUGUCCCUUCAGAAAAGAUCUGUAUAUUCUUUCACAGCUGUUCCAGAUGGGUUGAUGGCCUUGGAUUACUUCCAGUGAAAAUUUCUCUGCAGCUUAAAGUUAAACCCCAGAUCCAGAUUAGCACAGGCAUGUGAUACAAAUUCUUAGGGCAGACGUUGUGUCGGCCACCUGAAGCCAAAGCGAGACAGACACAUUUCCUUGUUAUCUCCCUUUGAUAGCUGGGGCCGCAGUUCUAGAACACUCUUUUACUGUGUGUGUCCCCUUUGAUUGCACCAGCUCUCUGAGGACUCCAUUUCAACCCUCUGCUGGGAGGAUCUGCCUAGUCCAUCGCCUCCUGUUUCUGUGGGCCACUGAUACAAACCACUUGGUUACCAAGGGCAAAAGACCCCAGGUUUUCCAACCUUCCAAGUAGCUUACAACACUUUCACUCUCAGCAGCGGCUUCCUAUUAUU